rnacentral:rRNA from 1 species
UGCAGCCUACGGGGGGCAGCAGUGGGGAAUAUUGCACAAUGGGGGAAACCCUGAUGCAGCGACGCCGCGUGAGCGAUGAAGUAUUUCGGUAUGCAAAGCUCUAUCAGCAGGGAAGAAAAUGACGGUACCUGACUAAGAAGCCCCGGCUAACUACGUGCCAGCAGCCGCGGUAAUACGUAGGGGGCAAGCGUUAUCCGGAUUUACUGGGUGUAAAGGGAGCGUAGACGGCUGUGCAAGCCAGAUGUGAAAGACCGGGGCUCAACCCCGGGACUGCAUUUGGAACUGUGUAGCUGAAGUGUCGGAGA